rnacentral:lncRNA from 1 species
CCCAACAAAACCCAAGCCAAAGCUCAUCCCAGCACACUGAGCCCAUAAACCACCUCUGCUGCCCCUGGGAUUCAGGAGGAUCCCACAUUCCAGGUCCCAUCCUGACUUGGGAUGCCAGGAGCCCUCCACCACCCUCCCCUGAGCAGGAAACAGCAAAUCCUUCCAACCAAACCCCAACAAGGUCGCGCUUCAAAGUUAUUCCCCAAACCCAGAGUCUUGCAAAGGUAGGAGAAGCUCCCAGGAGAGGCAGUGAACAAUAUCCAUGAGUUUCUCAUGACCUUACGGAGAUUGCCAUGACAACACCGCCUCGAUCCUCCAAACAUGGAUAUAUUCAUUUGAUUCAUUUGCACUGGUGUGAUUGAGAAUAAUUAGAGUGAGAUUCCCCGAGCCGGGGAGUCACAGCCGUGCACGGCUCUGCCAGCAGAGCCCAAGUUUCAAGGGAAGCAGCCUCAAAUUUAAAUGUAAAAAAGAAAACCGACAACACUCUUCGGAGCCGCGUGACCUAAUUCAUUAUAAAGAAUGUCAGUUAGCAAACCUUUUAAAUAAAACAUUAAGCUAGAGGUAAUUUGAAGCCUUGUGGAUUUUGUUUUACUCAAUUAUUUUCUAAUGCUUCAACUUCAAGAAUAAAUAUGCAGGAAUCAAAAAAAAAGAAAAAAAAAAGGAAUACUAAGGGUUUCAUUUAAUUCUUUUUUCAAAAGAAAUGAAGACAUUCAUACUAAACCAAAAUACCCUUAACCAAGCCGGAUUUUUAAUUAAAACUUUUAUGUCCUACAAGAUUCUUCAAGGUUAUAAUAUCUGCUCCCACAUCAUGAGGCAGCAUCACGCUCACACAAGGGCGAGCCCAACAUCCACGUUAGAACAACCUGUGCUAUGCAUUGCUAUACCUUAUUUCCAGGACAUCCACUCACAAAUUAAACCAGGCUGGAAUGCUAUUUCUUCCCUGCCCCAUAAUUUCCACAACCACGUGCAAUUUUCACUCUGUUGGGAAGAGUUUCCCUGCAGCAGACUGAGGCAAGGGAUGAUCACGCUGGCCUCUGCUUGGGUUUUAUUAAUGCCUGGUGGUAAGAGCAGGGCUGGAGUGAGGCAGGUGGGGAUGUGAAACCUGCAGAAGGGCAGCAGAGGGUAAAAACCACUGCUGAUGCUCACAGCCUAAAAUGAGGUUAAUUGGGAAAAUGGGGAAAAGAAAGGGAGUCACAGAAUCCCGGAGUAGUUUGGUUGGAAGGGACAUUAAAGCUCACCCAGUGCCACCCCUGCCAUGGGCAGGGACACCUUCCAUGUCCCAGGCUGCUCUAAACCCUGUCCAGCCUGGCCUUGGACAUUUCCAGGGAUGGGGCAGCCACAGUUUCUCUGGAAGGAGCUCAAUGAACACUGCAAAUGCUCUUCUAAGAAAUACAACAAAACAAAACAAAAAAGAAAGUCAUAAAGAGGCAUCCUCUGAAGCAAAAAAAAAAACAAAACAAAAAAAAAAACAGUUAGAGCAGUUAGAGCUAAAUAUUUGAUUUGAUUUUGGCAGCAUCACCCUUUUCCAGAGGCUACCAGAAAGAGAUUUGCAGGAAUGUGCUUAACACCGCUCUGCUACAAGUCUGUGCUACAAAACAUUCCAAAAACAAAGAAACCCAGAAGAUAAAAAGAUUCCUUUCCGCCACACUGUUCAGAAUAAAACACCUCCCUACUCUGAUUCAGCCUUCCUUGCAAUGUUUAAAAAAUAAAAAGUCAGCUUUUCCCUGCAAUUUACCCAGUGGGGUCCAGCAGGGACCCCCAGCACUCCCACCCUGACCCCGGAGAUGCCAGGGAAGCAGAGCCAACUCAGGUAACCCCUCACUGCUCUGAUUUUCAGGUCACAACCACACCCCGGGGCCACUUUCUGGGUGUUAAAAGUUCUGUGUCACCACAGGAAGGAUUUGGUGUUGGUGGAAGUGUGAAGGGUGGAACUCGCAUCGCACCCGCCCCAACCCUGCUGCACCCAGGGCUCCUUUUCAGGGCAGAAAACUCCGGAUAAAGCCAUUCUCUGCAGCGGGGAAUAAACAAGGAUUAGAAUUCACCCGUUCAUAACAAGGAAACCCUGCAGCUAGAGGUGGAGUCAGGCAGUGCCAGAACAUCCAGCCUAAGUUGCUCGACGAAUGCUAACUAUGACUUCCAGCUUAUUUAUCUAAUUUGGGUUGAUUUUUAAAUAUCGAGUUAUCUAGCCAGACACAAAAAGGGAGCCUGAAAAUUUCCCGUGUUGGUGAAAACUCUCCCUGCUGCCGUAAUUCAAUCUACAUGUCUGAAUAUUACUGACUUUUCUCAAUCACAUUUGUAUUGAGAAAUCAGGACCUUGUUUUCUCAAAAUGGUGUUAAGUGCCUGGAAAACGGGGUUCUACAGCAAAUGAGCCUCUCCAAAGCUGACUGUGAUGCACAGCCUGCAAGUAUUUUAGUAAUUUACAAUAUUUAUCAGGCUCUAUUUUUGCCAAUCAAUCCAUAAGAAGAACAGAACAGCCAAUACCUAUAAAACAACCCGCUCGAUUUCAGCACGGGCUGCUUUCCGUGCGAGAAAGGGGCAGCUCUGAACUGAUACAACCAGUUUGCAACACACACAAAAAAAAUACACAUAGGAGGGAUGAAGUCAGUGGCAAAAUCCUCAAUGGCUUCAGCCGGGCCAGGAUUACCUCCAGGAACGUGCUGAUGCUUGGAGGAACAGCAGGGUGAUGCCAAGGCUGGAGAAAAGGAGGCUCAGGGAAGAUCUUAUUGCUCUCUACGACUCCUGACAGGAGGGAGCAGCCAGGCCAGGGCAGGCUCUGCUCCCAGGGAACAGCCUCCAGCUGUGCCAGGGAAGGGGCAACUUGGAGAUCAGCAGGAAUUUCUCCAUGGAAAGGGUGGCCAGGCACUGCCCGGGGAAUGCCCAUCCCCUGGAGGUGUCUAGGACGUGGCACUCAGCGCUCUGGGCUGGGGACAAGACUGGGGUGGGUCACAGGUCGAUGAUCCCAGAGGUUUUUCCAGCCUCAGUGAUCCUGUGAAGGCUGCAUGGGGCAGGACCAGCCCUCCCACCCCAGUGUCCAACCUCCCAGCACCCCCAUCCAGGGUGGGCUGACUGCUCCCAGUGACCCAGAGGCUGAAACUGGUGGCCCUGGACGCCUGGGGAGUCUGUCCCUGUGGAAUCUAUCCCAGCCCUGCUCCUUGGAACUGCUGCUCGUGCCGAGGGUGGUGCUGAGCAUCCCCACCCCACGGAACACCAGGCACCAGCACGUAAUUUCAGAGAGCACCAAACAGCUGAGACCAUCAGAGGCUGUAAUCGCCAUUAGGGCAGAUUUGAGACAACAAUCCAAGCACAAAAACCCUCCCUGACCAUCCCUGAACCCACGAGGUACCACGCACUCCCCCCAGCCCCAGCCCUGCUUUUAAAAUUCAGCCUUUAUCAGCUCGAGUUGAGCAAAUCCAGUCAAAAGGCAGAAACGGAUUGUGCUAGUAAGCAGAAAAACUGUUACAUCUUCCGAAUGUAAUUUUGCCAAAAGCCUCUGCACAAUUUUUUUUGUCACGCUUUGCAUUAUGAAGGAAAUUUCUUUUUAGAAGAACAGGAGAAUGAUUUGCAUAAUAUUCUUUGCAAGUUAAUAUCAGCCUCUGAUAAUGAUCUCUGCAUAAUGCAAAAACGUUUGAGAAGACUGUUACAACACUAAGUAAUCAUAUUUUAAAUUAUGUUUCCCUUUAUAGAAAGGUGUUGCAAAAACACACAGACAUGAAAUCUGUCUGUUGAAGUCCCAAGAACCACCUGACCAUCUUCCCACUAUUCUACUGUUACAGAUUGCAACACCGCCUUUCAAAAUCUUACAAAACAAAUUACGCUGCAACAGUCUGGCUUCACAGAAGGCAGAGCUUUUUCCUGUGCUGCCGCUCCGGCACAUUACAUUUCACAAGAGCCUCUGAUGUGCUGCAGGGGUUAAGCAAGGGCCCAGAAAUGAAGCUGUAAGAGCAGCAGACGUGGCUGUU